rnacentral:rRNA from 1 species
UACAGAGGUCCCAAGCGUUGUUCGGAUUCAUUGGGCGUAAAGGGUGCGUAGGUGGCGCCGUAAGUCAGGUGUGAAAUCUCCGGGCUCAACCCGGAAACUGCCAUUGAUACUAUCAGUCUUGAAUAUCGUGGAGGUAAGCGGAAUAUGUCAUGUAGCGGUGAAAUGCUUAGAUAUGACAUAGAACACCAAUUGCGAAGGCAGCUUACUACCCGAAUAUUGACACUGAGGCACGAAAGCGUGGGGAUCAAACAGG